GUCGGGGUGAUGGAUGGGCAUUAGCGCACAGGACUUUCAAGCCAGGGAGCUGAGUUUGCUUCCCGGGGAAAACUAAAGACUUUCACCCAGGAAAUGCUUGUUCCUUGGGAGUGUUUUAAUACAAACCACAAUCUUUUUCCUAAAUAACUAGUCGUUUUAGUACCUAAAACUUAAAUUUUGUUGCCGCAUAACGCUCACUUUUUCUUGCCUAAACUUAACCGUAAUCUCUGCCGAAAUGACUGGCAGCUUGCGGUGCUCUGUACCCGGCUCACAGUCCCCUUUUCUCGGAGAAUGGAACCACCAACUACCACUGACCUGACAGAGCCCCAUGCGGAGCACCAUGCGGAGCAACGUAGCCGGUGUCGCAGAGCUCUGUAGCAGCUAAACACAUCUACUAACUGCUGCUGAUACGACGAGCUGUGACAGCCAUAAGAAAUGAAAGAAAGGACAAAAAAGAAGAAAAAAAACACAUCAUGCUGAAAUGAUCCUCUGAUACCAGAAUAAGUUGCCCACCAUGAGAUCUUACCUCAACAUUAUCAUCCAGAUGAGAAUCUAAGUGAACAUUCAAUUUCAAUAUCAGUUGUAACAGUGGCAUUGUACCCACGGAGGCAUCCUAUUUUAUUUUCAAUGCAGGAAGACAAUGGGGCUCCACUCCAUGUCGCUGUUGUGGCCCAAAAACUUAGAGGGUCUGAAAGGGAAAAUGUGGAGGCAUUUGUGUUUUAAUUUACUGUAAACGGUAAGCGUGGCGUUAUUCUAUAUUUUUAUUAUUGUCAACAAGUCCCAUGAGAAGACCUAAACAAUAAUGCAUAGUCCAUCUCUCAGCAGCUUCCAGUAUUUUCCCUGGCUCUCAGCCCCAAGCCAAUUAGCUCCAACUGAUGAUGUCAAUCUUUA